UCUCUUUCACAUCCCGGGGAAAAUGCCUAUAUAGACUUUGCCGGUCCGCCGGCUACGGCGAUAAACGAUGCGUGGAAUAAACGUUGUGGACCCGGGGGCGGUACCCGGCGCCUCCACCAUUAUCUGGGCGGCCUGAUUCAGACUUCGCGGUUUACGCCGCUUCGUCAUCAGGGCGCCUGGUUCCGGGUGUUACGGAGCGGCGGUGUCGCGACGUUGGACCUGGAGAUAUGGGGGCGAAAUAGGCUCGACACGCGUGGUAAAGACCCAUCUUUCGCUCGGCAUGGUUCCGCCGUUAUCGGGCUAUAUCUUAAAUGCGAACGAUAACAACGUUGCAUUCGCGGUCGCUGCCUAAACAGUAGCUAAGCGCGGUUCGGGGGGCACCGGGCAACAGAAGCCCCCCACU
rnacentral:tmRNA from 1 species